rnacentral:rRNA from 1 species
GACGAACGCUGGCGGCGUGCUUAACACAUGCAAGUCGAACGGAAAGGCCCUGCUUUUGUGGGGUGCUCGAGUGGCGAACGGGUGAGUAACACGUGAGUAACCUGCCCUUGACUUUGGGAUAACUUCAGGAAACUGGGGCUAAUACCGGAUAGGAGCUCCUGCUGCAUGGUGGGGGUUGGAAAGUUUCGGCGGUUGGGGAUGGACUCGCGGCUUAUCAGCUUGUUGGUGGGGUAGUGGCUUACCAAGGCUUUGACGGGUAGCCGGCCUGAGAGGGUGACCGGGCAAAAUUGGGACGGAGAGAGGGCCAGGACUCCUAGGGGAGGAAGAAGGGGGAAAAAUGAAAAAGGGGGGGAGGGCCGGAGGAAGAAACCCCGGGGGGGGAAGGAGGGCUUGGGGGUUGAAAACCGCUUGCGCCGGUAAGAAAGGGGGAGUGAGGGAAAGGGGUAAAGAAGAACCGGCAAAAUAGGUG